GGGGUUGUGGCUCAGUGGUAGAGCACUUGCCUAGCAUGUGUGAGGCACUGGGUUCAAUUCUCAGCGCCAUUU
rnacentral:tRNA from 1 species